rnacentral:lncRNA from 1 species
CCCCACUGUCUAUAUCACUCUGUUCAGCUCUUAAUAUUAUUCCGUAUCAUGUCUUUGUGACGUCGAAUACGUUGACCCGGCCUUAAUAACUUUGACCCGGACAUAUCAGCGACGUCAUAAUGUUUGAACCGACGUUAAUAACUUUGACCCGAACUUAUCAAGUCAUCUUUUGUGUGCUGGUGAAACAAAGAAAACACUUCUGAAACACGCAAAUAUAGCCCGAUAAAUCGAUUAUCAGAUUAUCUGCAUAUUGAUAUUGUAAAAUAUCAGCUGCUUGACAUUAUAUGAAGGCUUUUUGAUCUCGUUCGCUACGCUCACUCGACAAAAAGCUUCAUAUUAUGUCUCGCAGCUAAUAUUUUACGAUAUCAACAUGCAGAUAACCUGAUAAUCGGUAUUUAUUUCACAUGUGAAAUUAUCGGUUUUUAUCUAACUGAGAAAUCAAUGUAAUUCAUUGCAACCAAUGUAAUAA